rnacentral:rRNA from 1 species
GACGAACGCUGGCGGCGUGCUUAACACAUGCAAGUCGAACGGAAAGGCCCUGCUUUUGUGGGGUGCUCGAGUGGCGAACGGGUGAGUAACACGUGAGUAAUCUGCCCUUGACUUUGGGAUAACUUCAGGAAACUGGGGCUAAUACCGGAUAGGAGCUCCUGCUGCAUGGUGGGGGUUGGAAAGUUUCGGCGGUUGGGGAUGGACUCGCGGCUUAUCAGCUUGUUGGUGGGGUAGUGGCUUACCAAGGCCUUGACGGGUAGCCGGCCUGAGAGGGUGACCGGACACAUUAGGACUGAGAUACGGCCCAGACUCCUACGGGAGGCAGCAGAGGAGAAUAGUACACAAUGGGCGGAAGCCUGAUGCAGCAACGCCGCGUGCGGGAAGACGGCCUUGGGGUUGUAAUCCGCUUUCGCCUGUGACGAAGCGUGAGUGACGGUAAUGGGUAAAGAAGCACCGGCUAACUACGUG